AACGAACGCUGGCGGCGUGCCUAACACAUGCAAGUCGAGCGCGAAUGGAGCAAUCCUAGUAGAGCGGCGCACGGGUGCGUAACACGUGGGUAAUCUGCCUCAAAGCCCGGGAUAACCUGCCGAAAGGCAAGCUAAUACCGGAUAAGCCUACGGACUCUUCGGGGUCUGAAGGAAAGGUGGCCUCUGUAUACAAGCUAUCACUUUGAGAUGAGCCCGCGGCCCAUCAGCUCGUUGGCGGGGUAACGGCCCACCAAGGCAACGACGGGUAGCUGGUCGUGAGAGGAUGGCC
rnacentral:rRNA from 1 species